GGUACUGGGAAGUGUAGUGAGAUCCUGGUCGUGGGAAACGUAGACGGGAAGGAGAGGGUGAAUUCUACACGGCAGGGCACGUCGGGCCAGAGUCUCCUACUUGUGCGGAGUUUGGGUAGCGACUCUGAUGUCAGCCCGUUCUGCCCCACUCCCUUGGGCCUUUCACAGGUCCUGUAGGAGAGGCGUGAGUUGGGACCGCCGUGUUGACUUUGGGGUUCGGGGCGGGAAGGCAUUGCCAGGUGUCGGGUAAUUACAGAGAAGCGAGUUGUAGCUCCAGCUGAAGGUCUUUUCGGAAAUGCAAGCAGUUUGUCUAGAUUAAACAAGUAAAGGACAUACCGUAUACAACGGCACACCGAUAAAUUGCUGUAAUCUCAGUAAUGGAGGCAGGAGGCCGAGGGCUAGCCUGUACUACUGUGGAGGCCCUGCAUCAAGAAGCAGAAUAGCCGGGCGUGGUGGCACACACCUUAAAACCCCAGCCAGGAGACAGGAAAAAGGAUCUUUGAGGUCGUGGCUAGCUUGGUCUACAUACCAAGUUUAGGACAGCCGGGACGACCUGGAGAAGGCCCUGCCUUAGCGCACGGCAGGACUGAGGAGAUAGUACAAAAUGCUGGGUAGGAUGGUUGGGAGGUGAGUUUUCCCAGUAAUCCCAGUGCUAGGAAACCACAGACGGCAUCUCUGGGACAAAGGUGUAUGUGUGCAUGAAGAGAUCACAGGAAAACUUGGGGAAAUUUGUUUCUUCCAAUCAUGUGGGAUCUGGGAAUUGAACUCACAGUCAAGUGGCCCCUAAACUAACUGUCUGUUUUCCUAGACAGCGUUUCUCCUUGUAGCCUUGGCUGUUUUGGAACUCGCUGUGUAGACCAGGCUGGUCUUGAACUCACAGAGAUCCCCCUCCUUCUGCCUCUGGAGUGCAGGACAAAAGACAUGCCCCACCCCCACCCCCAGGUCCCCACUAAGUUAUCCUGCUGGCCCUAAUUUUGUAGAAAGGAAAAUUUAACUUAAAAUUUUCCUUGAAAAAUCUUUAUGUUUGUAAGAGUGUAUUACUUCUCUCCUUUGUGGCUAAAAUCAAGCGUAAACGCUGGUUCUUGUUAAUAAAAGAUUGCUGAAUUAUCCAGGGAAGCUUCUCUUGCUUUAGCCUUACAGUAGCUAGCAUUAUAUUGCCACACUAGCUUUACCUUGGUGGUUCUUGUUUAAGAGUCUCAUGCUGAAUUCAAAAUUUAGCUCAAAAAGGUCAGAGAUAAUAUAGAUAUAAAACUCCUAAGGGGAAACACAUUUUUACUAUCUUGGAUUAAACAGUAGUUUCUUAGUAGGAAACCAAAAGCAAAAAUG
rnacentral:lncRNA from 1 species